GACGAACGCUGGCGGCGUGCUUAACACAUGCAAGUCGAACGGAAAGGCCCUGCUUUUGUGGGGUGCUCGAGUGGCGAACGGGUGAGUAACACGUGAGUAACCUGCCCUUGACUUUGGGAUAACUUCAGGAAACUGGGGCUAAUACCGGAUAGGAGCUCCUGCUGCAUGGUGGGGGUUGGAAAGUUUCGGCGGUUGGGGAUGGACUCGCGGCUUAUCAGCUUGUUGGUGGGGUAGUGGCUUACCAAGGCUUUGACGGGUAGCCGGCCUGAGAGGGUGACCGGCCACAUUGGGACUGAGCUACGGCCCAGACUCCUACGGGAGGCAGCAGUGGGGAAUAUUGCACAAUGGGCGGAAGCCUGAUGCAGCAACGCCGCGUGCGGGAUGACGGCCUUCGGGUUGUAAACCGCUUUCGCCUGUGACGAAGCGUGAGUGACGGUAAUGGGUAAAGAAGCACCGGCUAACUACGUGCCGGCCGCCGCGGUAAGAC
rnacentral:rRNA from 1 species